AUUGAACGCUGGCGGCAGGCCUAACACAUGCAAGUCGAGCGGAGCGGCGGACGGGUAAGUAAUGCCUAGGAAUCUGCAUGGGAGUGGUGGAUAAGGUCAGGAACCGGGCGCGAAUACCGAAUACUAUCAGAUGCGCCUGGGUCGGAUUGGCUAGGUGGUGGGGUAAGUGCAUACCAAGGCGACGAUCCGUAACUGGUCUGGGAGGAUGAUCAGUCACACUGGGACUGAGACACGGUCCAGACUCCUACGGGAGGCAGCAGUGGGGAAUAUUGGACAAUGGGCGCAAGCCUGAUCCAGCCAUGCCGCGUGUGUGAAUAAGGUCUUAGGAUUGUAAAGCACUUUCAGUUGGGAGGCGUUACCGACAGAAUAAGCACCGGCUAACUUCGUGCCAGCAGCCGCGGUAAUUC
rnacentral:rRNA from 1 species